AACAUAAAAGGUGGAUUUAAUAUUUUUUUAAAUAGUGAGCAGAGUUGAUUUUCUUCUCUUUUAAUAUAUAUAUUGGCAAACCACAUAAAAUAGAGAUGGGUUGGAGAACAUGAAAGCAAACCCAAAUAGUUUUUUUUAAUUAUUAUUAUUUAUAUAAUCUAUAUAUUAUUAGAAAAAGUUACUUUUUAAAUAAAAAUACAAAAAAAAAAAAAAAAAAAAAAAAAAAAAGCAAUGGAUUUCUACUUGAUGAUAGAACUGUUUCUAGAGAACCACUGUGGAUGAAAUUCCUUGGAGGACAAGGAAACCCUUGGUGUGAUGGCUUCUGCAUUUGAGAUUUUGCACUUAUUGUGGAAUUUGGCUCUUCUUGUACACCUGCUGCACUUGUAUUUAACAGCUUGAAGACACAAGCAGCUCCAUUGAAGACCAUGACCUUGGGGAACACAUUUCCAUCUCUCCUUUGGACACCUUUACAAUAGAUCUCUUCCUACCUGCACCCCUUCAGCUCUUCCUCGCUCAGUUCUACUUUUUUUUUUCUUUUUCUUUUUUUAACCUUCACUUCAUGGAUAGAAAUUUCCAAGCGUAGGGAUGGAAUAUAAAUUGCAAGUCGUAGACGUCAAAGACAAAACAGAUGGAGCAGCAGAAUCAUGGAAGAAAUUAUCUGGAAAUAUACCUCACCUAUACUUUUCUUUCCAUUUUUAAAUUUUACUUCACAGCAUUUUUUCUGUGUUGCCCAGAUUUUUCUCUCUGUAGUGUCUUGUGAGACACUUUGUUUGCUUUGCAAUAGCUUCUCUUGAAAUAAACCAAAGCAAUACUCAUUAAAGUUCCAAGGGCAAUGGAGAAGAGAGUGACUCCCUUCCCAGCGACUAUCCCAGAAAGGAGGAAACAUGCAGCAGGAUUUGAAAGUCAGCCCUGCCCUCGUGGACUCUGGCAUCCUUCAAGCAAGACAUUUCAGAAGAAUGUCGAGAGAAGCCAGGAUGCUUUGAUACUUCUGAUAACUUCUCCUUGCCCUGACCCUUCCGUCCCUGUGUUUCAUCUGGCACAGGAGCCUGGACUGUGGGAAGCUGGCUACCAACUGUUCAGAGAAAUUCUGGGGAUGCCCUAAGCCGGUGCAAUACAAAGAAUUUUUUUUAAAGCCUUGAUUUCACUUUCUUUUAAGCAUGUGUAUAAACCCAGGUCAAACUGGAAUUAAUCUACAGUAGAACUGACUGAAAAACAAACUGAAAAAAGACUUAACUAUUUUAUUUAUUUCAAUAUUUAAGAGAGAAAAAGAGUGCUGAAGUUGCACAGUAUUUUUGUUUGAAAUACAUUUUACUUCAAAUUUUAAAUGCAAUUUUGUGAAGACAUAGAAUUUUGAAAAAGCACUUAAUGUAAAAUAAAGACUGAAUAUUUACUUUAAGAAAAAAAGCUUUUUUAAAUAAUGAAAAUAAAGAUCAACUCUGCUCUCUCUCUUACUUUAAAGAAGCCAUUCAUACAUGUGCUGAGUAUCUUUGUUUUUUGCAAAUUGGAUGUGGUAAGUGCAGACUGUUCUGGUUUUCUUUCUUCUGAAUAAUAUUAUCCUGUUAGAUGCUUAAAUCUUACUUUGCUUUUCUUGUGUUAGGCACAAAUCUGAACAAAAACUGCUGAAAGAGCAAAGACCAGGCUCAGUGCCUGGAUUUUUUUGUUACCAGAUGUUGUGUCCAAUUCAAAGGACUGUCUUCUCCCCGUAGGAUUGAUGUGUCUCUUCUGCACAGUAAAACAGGUUUUCAUUUGAGCAACUCUGUGAAAUACUUCUGCUAAAAGAGAGAUUUAAAGAAAGGAAAGCAACUAUUAGGCUGUUUUUUGUUUUGUUUUGUUUCUUCUCAUUACUAUUAUUCUUUUUUUUUUUUUUUUUUCUUUCAUUUUUUUUCCUUUGGUAAUUCCUCAGCUGAUUGUGAGUUGGUUGUAAGGAAAGUAUUCUGUUUGGAUGCUCUUGGCAUGUAGCUUCCUUCCGGAGUCAAGGAUGUUGCCCUAUGUAGAAAACCUGUAUAUUUGCCCUUUUUUAUGAAAUAAUGGACUUUGAAAAGUAUAGAGGUACACCCCAUGUCAGCAGUAAGCAACAGAGGAUACUCAGCAGGAGAAGAAUUUGAGUUCCCACAGGCUGCAAUCCUAAAUUGUCCGGUGAGGGACGUUCACAGCCUUCAUUCUGGGUUGUUAGCCAUCUUCUCAAUGAAAUGAGUUCUGCUUCAUGCAAGCACUGGAAAAUUUUGUUGGCUGCCAAAUCUGCUCACAGUGGAUAGUUUGUUGUCAUGUGUGAUGCAGGCUAGCAAGGAUGCGAGCCUUGUGUAUUAGAAGGGCAUUGGACUUGGCUCUGAGAUUAGCUGUCCUCUGUAGUCAGAUGUAUCUAUUGGUAUAGACCCAGUGUAUAGAUAAUAAAGUGUUUUGCUAAUGUGACUUAUGUUGGUUUUUUUGAGUGAAAAGAUUGUCUACGAAAAUGCAUCCUGUGUAGGGGAAGCUGACAGAAGGUCUCAUGCUGCAUCAUAUUUCUUGCACACCUAAAACUUAAACUCACCUCUUUGAGAGGUUUCCUUGUGUCCGUCGCAGUGUUCCCUCCCCCUUCUCCUGCUCCCUUUGGAUUGACACAUAGGGCCAAAAAUAGCCAUAUUAAAUCUCUGGUAGACCUGAGUUCUGCUCUCACUAAGUUGAAUGACAAAAUUUAUGUCAUAAUGAGGUUCUUUACCAGGAUGGGUUUGCUUUGAUAAUUUUGUUGUUUCUGCGCUUGCAUUGGUGAGCUGCCGCUAGAGAAAAAGAAGAAAUCAGAUUUUAUUUAAUCAAAAUAUAAUGAAACGCACAACCAUAAUGAAGAUUUGCAAACUGUAGGGUCUGUAUUCAGUUUGUGUAAUAUUCCUUUCAAAUAAAAGUUCUGCUUUCAAUGCC